UACGGGGGGAGCAAGCGUUGUUCGGAUUUACUGGGCGCAAAGGGCGCGUAGGCGGUCAGCACAAGUCAGUUGUGAAAUCUCCGGGCUUAACUCGGAAAGGUCAACUGAUACUGUGCGACUAGAGUGCGGAAGGGGCAACUGGAAUUCUCGGUGUAGCGGUGAAAUGCGUAGAUAUCGAGAGGAACACCUGCGGCGAAGGCGGGUUGCUGGGCCGACACUGACGCUGAUGCGCGAAAGCCAGGGGAGCGAACGGG
rnacentral:rRNA from 1 species